GUAUUCGCCAUACCAAGGAUUGGGCAGAUAGCAAAAGACAGUAAGUACACAUCAGUGGAAUACAGAAUUAUUCCCACACCAAGGACAACAGAAGAUCGAAGAUGGCCUUAACCCAGCAGAGGGCAAGAUGCUGGGAAGGAUUUCUGGAGAGCACCACAUUUCAUCGAGUUAUAAAAAUUAGUAGGAAUGACCCAGAAGGAAUAUGUGUGCAGGGUUCCUUCCCAUGCCUUCCACGUCACCUAGAGUAAAGCCUGGAGCUCUUACCAGUCCUAGAAGAGGCCCUGGAUUGGCUCCCUGCAGCCCUGGAUUGGCUCUGGCAUUGCAACCCUCUUCCCUUCAUCCGCUCUCCCUUGUUGUUCCACAGACACCCAACCACACUUCUGUUCCAGACAGCCCUUUUCUACAGAACCUCCAACUACUUCAGGAAGAGAAGAAGGAAUAGAAGGGAAAAAUCCACUCUUCUGUAGAUCUGCUUUCCAACUGGGAUUAGCCAUAUCAUAAGCAAGACAUUAGAAAGAGGCACUUGGAAGCGUCCUGAGACUUGAAGCCAUUGCCCUCAAGAAGCCCUCAUCCCUGUGCUUCCCUCAGAAGCUCCCUUCCCUCCCUGGUAAAGAAGCCAUAUUGACACAACCCAGCAAGAAAUCACGUGAUUGCUGACCUCAAAAAAUGACUAUGCUUCCUACUUCAAGAUGGCCUGAGUUGGAGUGUAAGAUAGAGAACCUGUGUUAAAGGAACAGUGACCUUAUCC